CACCGCGGUUACACGAGAAGCCCAAGUUGAUGAACAACGGCGUAAAGGGUGGUUAAGGGCUUUUAAAACUAGAGUCGAACUUUAUCAAGGCUGUUAUACGCAUACGAAAACAGAAGAUCAUCUACGAAAGUGACUCUAACUUUCCUGACACCACGAAAGCUAUGGAA
rnacentral:rRNA from 1 species